CUAAAUUUUUAUUUUGAAUAGGUUUGUACAUAUGUUUAUGCAUAGGCGAAAAGGUGAUGUUCAAGUGGAAAUGAUGAAUAUAUAAAUAAAAGUGUAAAGUAUGUUUUGAAAAUGAGAAGAGGACUUUAAGGGUGCAGAACUGUGUAAAUGUUUCAUAGUAAAUUAUGAUUAUUAGCAACUAGAUUAAACAAGUUCAAGUGAUUUCAAUAUGUAUUAUCACACAAAAUUUGACCUCUAUUGGGUGGGCAUGAGAUGGGUUUGGCCGGAUUUGCAGUCAAAAUUUUGUUCGAAUCAAACCGAAUCUAGGUGAAAUGGCACAUAGCCGACCAUGGAUGUGAAUGGAUUGUACAAGUUACUAGUGAUACGGAGUUACAUGUGGGUUGGUUUGGAUAAUACUGGUUGGGCCAUUUUGUUGGAUCGAAUGACAUUUAUUCCCAAGAAAAAUAGAAAAUUAUACCCCAUACCCCUACGUUUAUCCCAAUACGUCCCUACAAAAAAAAAUUCGGACAAAUUUACCCCUGUAUAAAUAGUAAAAAUUCCAAAAUUUUUAACUUUUUCCCUCAUUCUUACCGUUCCGUUAGCAGUGGAGAGAAGACAAAUUUUUUCAGCCAAAACCGGAUAUCCCAGUCUCUGCAGUUCCAGUUCUAAUUUCAAGCAAAUAUGGUUCGAAGAAGAGGAGGUGCGAUCGACAGGAUGCGUCAAAGAGGAAGACAACGUCGAGAGGCUGAUGGCGAGGGACAGCAGGGAGCUGCAUGUUGAGUGCCAGAAAGUCGUUAUUUUGUGUAUUCUUGCGUAUUUGGGCCAUGAGCAAUAAAGUGUCGAAGACACGGCUUCAAACGCGCGAUUUUGAGCGGCGGAAUCAACUCAUUUGGCGGUUAAGGCUCAAAAUAAGGAUGAUAAAAAUCAUCAAUUUGGUCUCCAUUCAUUCAUUAUUAGAUAGAGCAUUGAAUAAGCUUUCUAACGCUUCGAACCAGGCGCAAAUCGGAGUUACGGUUCUCAAGUUAUGGCCGAAACAGUGCAAAAAUUUUCUGCUACUGGUGUCACUCGCCGGGCGAGCCCGACUGACCCAAAAAUGUGAUUUGCUACUGCCUGGAGUCGCCGGGCGAAUCAGUGUCGGCAGAAAACGCAAUAAAGCUGUUGGAAAUCAUUUUUUCAAGUAUGGUUGGAUAUUUUAGAGCUCCAAUCCAUCCAAUAGCAUUUUUUGAGUGGAAUGAUGCUAGAAAACACAUUGGAGCUGUCAAAUGGAUGAUCCGGGGUUGAAUCCUUCAUCAAUCGGAGCCGACAAACCGGGAGAUUUUUGGGUUUUUCUCCAUUUCUUCUCUUUGUAGUUUCUUUUGUGAGUUUUGUUAUGUAUAUACUUUAAUCUCAUGUAUAUUUGUUGACUAUUAUGUUAUAUAAA